GAUGAACGGUGCUGCACCAAGCCUUAUCUUUCAUUUAUGAUGAUUAUGCUUAUAAUGAAGGACUGCAAAUCUGACAGAUUGAAGAUCAUCUUGAAGGCUGUACUUUUCAUAGUUCUUGCAGUUUGGAUUGAUUUGAGGGAGAGAAAAAGGGAGAGAGGCUCUCUGUAAAGAAAACAUGAUUUUUAUGUGAAUAGUCAUUACAGACCAGGAUUAUAUUAUAUUCAUCUCCCCACGCAGAAACGACACCGGCAAACAUCCUUCCUUUAUUUUCCUGAGUAAAAGAAGGCCUCGUGGUUUAAUAAGCCAAAGGGAACACAUGCAAUGAAUGAGGUGGCAAAGUAAUGGCCUCCCCAUCCUUCCUCCUGCUCCUGGAGAGCAUCCCAGUGUCAGACAUGGUUAGCCUGGAGAUUUGGCUUUUUGCCUUUCACCUUUGGACAGAUCACUUCAUAACCUUGAGCCACAGCUACUCAUUUUAAAGGCAGUGGGAGUCCAGACAUGAACCAGACCCAUCCCUGGCCAUGGAGGAACACCCAACCUAACUGGAGAGACAAAGGUGGAGAAGGAGAGAUGACUGGGCCUGGUUGUGUCGGCAUUGGGGUCCCACCAUCUUGGAGCCUGUGCUUCUGGUUUGCCUGGGAAUGCAAGGUGUUUGGAGACUGCCCAGCAAAAAUCAACUGGGGGCUUGGCUGUGUUGCCUUGGGCUUGUUGUUGCUCAGUGACUCAGGCCAACAGAGCAACCAUCACCUGGAAUGUCAUCUAUUGCCAUUACAGGGUAAGUUGCACACUGGCUCAUAAAGUUUCUACCAGAGAGUGACACACAUUACUUCUGCUUACAUUUCAUUGGCCAAAGCCAGUUUCAUGGUCCACCUAGCUUCAAGGCACCAGAAAAACAUCUAUUAUGUUCUCAGAGAAGAGCUCGGAAUAUUGAUAUACUGUGUGCUCAUGACUGCUACACCAUUGAUAUGACUUGGCUGUGUGUCCCCACCCAAAUCUCAUCUUGAAUUGUACUCCCAUAAUUCCCAUGUGUUGUGGGAGGGG